rnacentral:rRNA from 1 species
CGAUGACGACCGUGCUUGCACGGUCUGAUUAGUGGCGAACGGGUGAGUAACACGUGAGUAACCUGCCCCCCACUUCGGGAUAACCUCGGGAAAUCGUGGCUAAUACCGGAUAUGAGUGCCUGCCGCAUGGUGGGUGCUGGAAAGUUUUUCGGUGGGGGAUGGGCUCGCGGCCUAUCAGUUUGUUGGUGAGGUGAUGGCUCACCAAGACGAUGACGGGUAGCCGGCCUGAGAGGGCGACCGGCCACACUGGGACUGAGACACGGCCCAGACUCCUACGGGAGGCAGCAGUGGGGAAUAUUGCACAAUGGGCGAAAGCCUGAUGCAGCGACGCCGCGUGAGGGAUGACGGCCUUCGGGUUGUAAACCUCUUUCAGUAGGGAAGAAGCGAAAGUGACGGUACCUGCAGAAGAAGCGCCGGCUAACUACGUGCCAGCAGCCGCGGUAAUACGUAGGGCGCAAGCGUUGUCCGGAAUUAUUGGGCGUAAAGAGCUUGUAGGUGGCUUGUCGCGUCUGCCGUGAAAACCCGAGGCUCAACCUCGGGCGUGCGGUGGGUACGGGCAGGCUAGAGUGUGGUAGGGGAGACUGGAACUCCUGGUGUAGCGGUGAAAUGCGCAGAUAUCAGGAAGAACACCGAUGGCGAAGGCAGGUCUCUGGGCCAUUACUGACACUGAGAAGCGAAAGCAUGGGUAGCGAACAGGAUUAGAUACCCUGGUAGUCCAUGCCGUAAACGUUGGGCACUAGGUGUGGGGGGACAUUCCACGUUUUCCGCGCCGUAGCUAACGCAUUAAGUGCCCCGCCUGGGGAGUAC